CCUACGGGGGGCAGCAGUGAGGAAUAUUGGUCAAUGGACGCAAGUCUGAACCAGCCAUGCCGCGUGCAGGAAGACGGCUCUAUGAGUUGUAAACUGCUUUUGUACGAGGGUAAACGCAGAUACGCGUAUCUUUCUGAAAGUAUCGUACGAAUAAGGAUCGGCUAACUCCGUGCCAGCAGCCGCGGUAAUACGGAGGAUUCAAGCGUUAUCCGGAUUUAUUGGGUUUAAAGGGUGCGUAGGCGGUCGGAUAAGUUAGAGGUGAAAUCCCGAGGCUCAACUUCGGAAUUGCAUCUGAAACUGUUCGGCUAGAGUGUAGUUGAGGUAGGCGGAAUGUAUGGUGUAGCGGUGAAAUGCUUAGAGAUCAGACAGAACACCGAUUGCGAAGGCAGCUUACCAAGCUACUUCUGACGUUGAGGCACGAAAGCGUGGGGAGCAAACAGGAUUAGAUACCCCAGUAGUC
rnacentral:rRNA from 1 species